rnacentral:misc_RNA from 1 species
UUUCCGUAGGUGAACCUGCGGAAGGAUCAUUAAAGAGUCCACAGGCAGACGGGGUAAAACCCGCCUGCCUGAACACUCCACCCUUUGUUUACAUUACCUUUGUUGCUUUGGCAGGCCCGUCUUCGGACCACCGGCUUCGGCUGGUCAGCGCCUGCCAGAGGACCUAAAACUCUUGUUAAUUUUAUUGUCUGAGUACUAUAUAAUAGUUAAAACUUUCAACAACGGAUCUCUUGGUUCUGGCAUCGAUGAAGAACGCAGC